AUGCUAUACGUGCACGCGAGGAUGCCUCCUCGCCAGAUGUUAUUACGGGUUUCGCUCGUUAGCUAUCGGAUUCGGGAUCAAAGAAGUCAAGUCAUCCACACUAUCGAAGCCCCAUUUUGGUACAAAUUUUGGUUGAACUUUGAAAUGGCAUGUAUAGGACCAUCCUUUGUUGAAGGUCAUGUACCUUCCGGUUUGUGUAAACUUAGAUAGCCAUGCGAAAAUGGCUUAUAUACGCUUUUAGCAUAGAACUAUAAUCGUUUGUAUGUUGACCCUUAUGAGGUAUGGAAUUAUUUUGAAACGAUUAGCCAUUGGAAUGGUUAAUCAUGAUCACACUUUGUGCUAUGUAUGUAAAAAGGGCCGAUUGAAUCAUGGAAAGUAUGAAAUAGGUAAAGCCUACUAAAGGCA